rnacentral:rRNA from 1 species
AUGUAUAUUAGUGUGUCAUAUGUUUCGUUUGGUUUAUAUGGUGCUGAUGAUCUUUUUCACCCUGUGUCUACCUACCUGCAGAUCAAUGGGUCUCUGGCUCGCAGGGCCAUCAAGGACCUGAUGGAGAGGGGGCUCAUCAGGAUGGUGUCAAUCCACUCGAGUCAGCAGAUCUUCACCAGGGCGACAAACUCCUGA